UUGAACGCUGGCGGCAUGCCUUACACCUGCAAGUCGAACGGUAACGGGCCUUCGGGUGCCGACGAGUGGCGAACGGGUGAGUAAUACAUCGGAACGUGCCCGAUCGUGGGGGAUAACGAGGCGAAAGCUUUGCUAAUACCGCAUACGAUCUACGGAUGAAAGCAGGGGACCGCAAGGCCUUGCGCGGACGGAGCGGCCGAUGGCAGAUUAGGUAGUUGGUGGGAUAAAAGCUUACCAAGCCGACGAUCUGUAGCUGGUCUGAGAGGAUGAUCAGCCACACUGGGACUGAGACACGGCCCAGACUCCUACGGGAGGCAGCAGUGGGGAAUUUUGGACAAUGGGCGCAAGCCUGAUCCAGCCAUGCCGCGUGCAGGAUGAAGGCCUCCGGGUUGUAAACUGCUUUUGUACGGAACGAAAAGCCUUCUUUUAAUACAGGAGGGUCAUGACGGUACCGUAAGAAUAAGCACCGGCUAACUACGUG
rnacentral:rRNA from 1 species